UUAUUUGCAGAUGUAGCAUCAUCAAGAUUCACAUAUGAAAGUGCAAAUGGUUUUGUUGGAUUUUGAUCUGAUCGAUGCAAAUCUAAGUUCUCCAUAGGUCUUUUGAACUGAGAAUCUUGAUGAUGCUGCAUCAGCCAUAAA
rfam:Medicago truncatula strain A17 chromosome 4, whole genome shotgun sequence.